UUUUUUUGGCACCCGGGGGUUUAGCCCCCAUUGAUUUUGUUUUUGUUGAUGUUUCCCAGGAGGCGGUUUAUCUUUUUGUUUCUCCUGGAGUUUUUUUUGUUCUUUUUUUUGUUUGUUGUUUGUUUGUUUGUUUGUUUUUUGUUAUUGUUUUGUUUUUGUUUUCUUGUUUAUUUGUUUGUCUUUAGUUAUUGUUAGUCCUUAUUUGUUGGUUGUUGUUAAGAAACGGACAGAGAACUGACAGUAUGAUUAUUCCUGUUGUAUAUUUGUUAAUGUUUCUGUCCAUUUAAAAUAUGAAUUAAAAAAAAAGAAAAGAAAUGAUGACCCAGUUCUCUGUUAAAUGAACCAUGUGUGAGUUCUUUUAUGAAAGAACUAGGGCUGUUGUCAUGCUCCUCGGCCUUUAACCCAGUGUUUUAUGUUUUUGGUGUUUUGAGUUAUGUAUAGCUAUUUAGUAUUAAAUAUCUUCAGUUUGAGUCUUAUUUACUUAGGGUUUCACCUCUUUAUAUUCCCUCAGUGUUUCCUGUCCUUUCAUUCUGUGUCAGUUCCUGUGUUUAGUUCUAUCUAUCUGCACUCUCCUGUUAGUUAUUGCUCCUCACGUCCUCUUUUAUUUAUAUGUCUUGCUCAUGCUCUUGACGAAGGCGGUCGCACUUUUUCUCCUCUCCUCCUCCUCCUCUCCCUUAGCUUCCCUGCUUAGCCUCUUGUGUCCUUGUCUAGUCUCGUGUUUUUUGUAUUACUUUUCCCUGGAACACUCUCUCACAGUCUGUUCUCUAAAACCUAAAAGAGGAAUUAUGGAUUGGAUCAACUGGUCCCUAAAUGCAAUUGACACCCCUUUCUCAACGAUAAGUUUGGCCCUGACUUAUCGAAGAAUUAAGAAAGCGGAACUGGCUGUUCAAACCCCCACAAGGCUGCCCGCUGGGAUUGAAACGAUGGGAAGAGGCAUGAGUUUCUCAAAAUGGGCUCAUUGAGUGCAGCACGGAUAAGAUCUUGGAGAAGCUAUGGCUGCUAUGAAUACUCAGAAUAAGAUCUCUGAGUGCAGACUGGAUUACAUCUCGGAAGGGCUCGCUCGGAAUAACACCUCUGAGCGCAAAUUGGAUGACAUCUCGGGGAGGCACACUGUCGUGAGUUCUCAGAAUUGGCUCCUUGAGCACAAGAAUGACAACAUCACAGAACGCAAGUAUGGCGAAGCUCGCGGCUCUCCAAUGGGAGAUUGAGAGACCAGUGUUGGACUGUAGAACUGCUUGGAAAUUCUAAAGUAAAAAGCACCAUCACUCAUGCGGAUACCCUCUCGGCGCCGGCUGCGGUCGCAAUGCUGGAGCCGAACAAAAACACCCUGAUAACGACCGUGUUUAGACUGUUCCUUCCCAUUCCAUGCAAGGCCACCUGGGUUGGCUAGAGGACUGUUUACUUAGCCUGGCAGGGCGAAGGACACUGUCUCAGCUGAACUCUGGACACGCACACACAUACAUAUACACUGAUUUGCACACACUCAUCCCCCCUCCCUUUCCAAACGCCUUUGACGCUUAUUCCCUUCCAAUCCUGACGGUGGAUCAAGGAGACCAGCGCAUAGGCUGCAGGCCCGGAUGUACUGUCUAAAUCGGCUGUUUCUCACCCUUUACCCACCCCUGUUGCUUGUCAUGUGUUUCUUUGGUGUAUUAAGAGUUUUUUUCAUGUGCUAUGUGCAGAGGUGUUUUUUUUCUGUUCUCAAACUGAUCUCCCUGUUGGAGCUCAGUCUGGGGGGAGUUAUUUUUUUUCUCCUUAUCUUUCCUCAUGUGGUGCUUUUUCCAUUGUUAUACCUCUCUCACCUGUCUUCCCCAUUUGAUGUUUUGUGUAAUGUAUGUAUGGUCGGAGGGUAAGAUGGCGCCGCCAUUACGUGCAAUAGGUCAGCAGCCUUAUGAAAUUUCCCCAUGUGGGACUAAUAAAGGUAUAUCAAAAUAUCAAAUAUCAAAUUUUGUGACCAUUUGUCUCUUGUGUUUAGCUUUACUUUCCUUGUCUCGUUACCUUGAUUUAGUUUACGUGUAUUUAGUUCCCCAACUGUGCCUCAUUCCCGAUUAGCCAUUAGUGUAUCUACGUGUAUUUAAAGCGUCAAUUUGCCUUAGCUCUUUGUCAUGCUGUACUGUAGUCUUCUGUUGCAUUCUCAGCCUGUUUUGGAUUUAGUUUCUUCUGGCUGUAGUCAUCAUUGUGAUUGUUGGUUCUCUCUGUUGAGAACCAACAUAAGCUCCUUGCUGGUUCUCACAUUUCUUGUGCAUACUAUGUGCUGAGAUUUUCACGGACCUUGUGUUUACGACUUGUUCACCACCUGCAAAUAAGUUUUUUUCUUUUUUGAUAUCUAUCUCCCUUUGAGUCUGCAUCUGGUUCCUCAUUCACCCACACACGAGAGCAGCACCCAACUAUUCACCUAUUAAGAUAUUUGUUAAUAGGUAUGUAUUCAGUUUUCUCAC
ensembl:lncRNA